CCCUUAGAUGUCCUGGGCCGCACGCGCGCUACACUGACACCUGCAACGAGUGUACAACCUUGCUCGAGAGGGCCGGGUAAUCUUUGGAACGGGUGUCGUGAUAGGGAUAGAUGAUUGCAAUUAUUCAUCUUGAACGAGGAAUGCCUUGUAGACGCGAAUCAUCAGUUCGCAUCGAAUACGUCCCUGCCCUUUGUACACACCGCCCGUCGCACCUACCGAUCGAAAAUUUCGAUGAAGAUUCGGGACAGAACCAACUCCGUUCAUUCGGGGAUGGCCCUGGAACUUAUCUAAAUCUCAAUUUUUAGAGGAAGGUGAAGUCGUAACA
rnacentral:rRNA from 1 species